rnacentral:rRNA from 1 species
AGUGAACGCUGGCGGUAGGCCUAACACAUGCAAGUCGAACGGCAGCACAGUAAGAGCUUGCUCUUACGGGUGGCGAGUGGCGGACGGGUGAGGAAUACAUCGGAAUCUACUUUUUCGUGGGGGAUAACGUAGGGAAACUUACGCUAAUACCGCAUACGACCUACGGGUGAAAGCAGGGGAUCUUCGGACCUUGCGCGAUUGAAUGAGCCGAUGUCGGAUUAGCUAGUUGGCGGGGUAAAGGCCCCCCAAGGCGACGAUCCGUAGCGGGUCUGAGGGGAUGAUCAGCCAAGCUGAAACGGGGAAGCGGCCCGAGCCCCAACGGGGGGCAGAGGGGGGGAUUAUUGGAAAAGGGGCGCAAGCCUGACCCAGCCAACCCGGGGGGGGGAAGAAGGCCUUGGGGUUGGAAAGCCCUUUUUUUGGGAAAAAAAAGCAGCAGGUUAAAACCCCGCUGUUCUGACGGUACCAAAAGAAUAAGCACCGGUAAACUUCGU